AAGACUAUACUUUCAGGGAUCAUUUCUAUAGUUCUUGACUUGGAAAUGUGUUUCUAAAGUGUUGCGUCUCGCUAUCCACGAUGAAGAGUCCGGGUGUUCUUUUCUGAGCGCGAAUCGGACAGAAGGUUUUGGGUCAAACCAUGUGCCUUUUGUCAUUGAUGAACGUUCCUGCUGCCUUUGGUGUCAGGAGGAAAGGGACACGAUCAGAGUGGU